rnacentral:rRNA from 1 species
AUACGUAGGGGGCGAGCGUUGUCCGGAAUGAUUGGGCGUAAAGGGCGCGUAGGCGGCCCGGUAAGUCUGGAGUGAAAGUCCUGUUUUUAAGAUGGGAAUUGCUUUGGAUACUGUCGGGCUUGAGUGCAGGAGAGGUAAGUGGAAUUCCCAGUGUAGCGGUGAAAUGCGUAGAGAUUGGGAGGAACACCAGUGGCGAAGGCGAUUUACUGGACUGUAACUGACGCUGAGGCGCGAAAGUGUGGGGAGCAAACAGGAUUAGAUACCCUGGUAGUCCACACUGUAAACGAUGAAUGCUAGGUGUAGGGGGUAUCGACCCCUUCUGUGCCGCAGUCAACACAAUAAGCAUUCCGCCUGGGGAGUACGGCCGCAAGGUUGAAACUCAAAGGAAUUGACGGGG